rnacentral:rRNA from 1 species
GGAACGGCGAUAUGCCUAUCAGUGGAUGGCUCGGUUCGAGUGCCGAAGAAGGGCGUGCCAAGCUGCGAUAAGCUCCGGGAAGACGCAUGGAGUCUACGAUCCGGAGAUACCCUAAUGGGACAUCCCAACACUUCGGUGUUGAUCCGUAAGGAUCGGGAACCCCCCGAAUUGAAACAUCUUAGUAGGGGGAGGAAGAGAAAUCAACCGAGAUGUCGUUAGUAGAGGCGAUCGAACACGACAGAGUUCAAACUGAAUCCCCUCACGGGGAGAUGUGGUGUAGUAAGCCUACCGUCCGGAUAUCAAGGUCAAACGGAAGUCCUCUGGAACGUGGCACCAAAGAGGGUGAUAGUCCCGUACGUAUAAGCCGAGAUAUCCUGGUAGAGUCUUGAGUACCGCGGGUCGGAAUUCUCGCGGGAAUCUGGGGGUCAUCAACCUCCAAAGCUAAAUACUACUCGAAACCGAUAGCGUAUUAGUAGCGUGAGCGAAGGCUGAAAAGUAACCCUUGAAAGGUGGUUAAAAGCGCCUGAAACUGAUAGGUGAUGGUGAGUUACGGCGCGAAAGGAUCUUCCACGUGAAGGAACCCGUCGCGAGGCGGUAGUACGGGCGUGGUUGCCGGUGUCGUAACGUACGUUUUGAAGAACGGGCCAGAGAGUUUAUUCUGCAGGCGAAGGUUAACCCAAAAGGGGAGCCGAAGGGAAACCAACAUGUCCGUAGCGCUUGCAUGGGACGACGUAUUAAAAGUGCGUGGAGUCUGCAGGAUAAGACCCGAAGCCUAGCGAUCUAUGCGUGGGCAGGUUGAAGCGUGCCGAAAGGCGCGUGGAGGACCGCAAGCGGUUUUGAUAUGCAAAUCAUUCGCGUGACCUGCGUAUAGGAGUGAAAGAUUAAUCGAGCUGGGCAUCUGCUGGUUCCUCUCGAAACAUGCCGUAGCAUGACCUGGCCGGAGAUAGACGGUGAGGUAGAGCACUGAUUGGGGGAGCUGGGGGAGAAAUCCCUCACCCUCCUGUCAAACUCCAAAUUCCCCGUCGUCGAAGAUGGCUGGCAGUCCGGACUACGGGGUAAGCUUGUAGUCCGUAAGGGAGACAACCCAGACCGUGGUUAAUGUCCCUCAAUGUAGGCUAAGUGUCAACACUGAAAGGCGUCCCAGGCCAAAGACAACUGGAAGGUGAGCUCAGAAGCAGCUAUCCUUUAAAAAGUGCGUAACAGCUUACCAGUCAAGGUUUAGGGCGCUGAAAAUGGACGGGGCUAAAGCCUACUACAGAGACCACGGAGCACCGAAAGGUGAUCUCGUAGGGAGGCGUGCUGCAUGGGUAGAAGCUGGGGCGUAAGGUCCAGUGGACCGUGCAGUAUUGAGAAUUCUGGCAGUAGUAGAAGCAUAGAUGGGUGAGAAUCCCAUCCGCCGCAGGGGCUAGGUUUCCUCGGCAAUGUUCGUCAGCCGAGGGUUAGUCGGUCCUAAGGUGUGUCGUAAUUCGAGCACAUCAACAGGGAAACAGGUUAAUAUUCCUGUACCAUUCAUCCGCAGCGUUAGUUCGCCCUGACGCUUCGGGAUAUGCCUGACAGGGUCGUCGCCCUGUCCAAGCGUUCAAGCUCGUGGAGUACCGCCAUGGUGAGAAGCGAGUGAAGGCGUGAUGGGGUAACCAGGCAAAUUCCUGGAGCCCGUGAAAAGGGGGAUGAAUGACCGUACCGAGAUCUGACACAGGUGCCCCUAGCUGAAGAGGCUAAGGCGUGUCGGUUUAAUCGUGUUAAGGGAACUCGGCAAAUUGGCCCCGUAACUUUGGGAUAAGGGGUGCCUGCCUGGCGAUCAGGCAGGUCGCAGUGACCAGGGGGCUCUGACUGUCUAAUAACAACAUAGGUGACUGCAACUCGGAAACGAUUAGUAUAGUCACUGAUUCCUGCCCAGUGCGAGUAUCUGAAUACCGGGUUCAACCGGACGAAGGACUCGUAAACGGCGGGGGUAACUAUGACCCUCUUAAGGUAGCGUAGUACCUUGUCGCUUAAUUGGCGACUUGCAUGAAUGGAUUAAUGAGAGCGAUACUGUCCCUAACACAUAUCCGUUGAACUUUUUAUCCUAGUGCAGAGACUAGGGACUCCAGAUGGGAAGUGAAGACCCCGUGGAGCUUUACUGCAGCCUGUCGCUGUGUUACGGUAUUCCUUGCGCAGCGUAGAUGGGAGGCGUCGAACCAUCCCCUCCGGGGGGUGGGGAGCCACCAAUGAGACACCAUCCUUGGUUUACUGUAACACUAACUCAAACUUGAGGACAACGGUAGGUAGGCAGUUUGGGUGGGGCGCCACACCCUCGAAAAAAUAUCAAGGGUGCCC